rnacentral:rRNA from 1 species
GAUUAUGGCUCAGGAUGAACGCUAGCUACAGGCUUAACACAUGCAAGUCGAGGGGCAGCAUGGGAUUAGCUUGCUAAUCCUGAUGGCGACCGGCGCACGGGUGAGUAACGCGUAUCCAACCUUCCCCUUACUCAGGGAUAGCCCGGUGAAAACCGGAUUAACACCUGAUGGUUUCAUUAGAUGGCAUCUGACGAUGAAUAAAGGCUUACGGUAAGGGAUGGGGAUGCGUCUGAUUAGCUUGUUGGCGGGUAACGGCCCACCAAGGCAACGAUCAGUAGGGGUUCUGAGAGGAAGGUCCCCCACAUUGGAACUGAGACACGGUCCAAACUCCUACGGGAGGCAGCAGUGAGGAAUAUUGGUCAAUGGGCGAGAGCCUGAACCAGCCAAGUAGCGUGCAGGAAGACGGCCCUAUGGGUUGUAAACUGCUUUUGUACGGGAAUAAAGUCAUCCACGUGUGGAUGUUUGCAUGUACCGUAAGAAUAAGGACCGGCUAAUUCCGUGCCAGCCGCUGC